UACCUGCGGAAGGAUCAUUACCGAGUGCAGGUCUGCCCCCGGGCAGGCCUAACCUCCCACCCGUGAAUACCUGACCAACGUUGCUUCGGCGGUGCGCCCCCCCGGGGGUAGCCGCCGGAGACCACAUUGAACCUCUUGUCUUUAGUGUUGUCUGAGCUUGAUAGCAAACCUAUUAAAACUUUCAACAAUGGAUCUCUUGGUUCCGGCAUCGAUGAAGAACGCAGCGAACUGCGAUAAGUAAUGUGAAUUGCAGAAUUCAGUGAAUCAUCGAGUCUUUGAACGCACAUUGCGCCCCCUGGCAUUCCGGGGGGCAUGCCUGUCCGAGCGUCAUUGCUGCCCUUCAAGCCCGGCUUGUGUGUUGGGUCGUCGUCCCCCCCGGGGGACGGGCCCGAAAGGCAGCGGCGGCACCGCGUCCGGUCCUCGAGCGUAUGGGGCUUUGUCACCCGCUCGAUUAGGGCCGGCCGGGCGCCAGCCGGCGUCUCCAACCUUCUAUUUUACCAGGUUGACCUCGGAUCAGGUAGGGAUACCCGCUGAACUUAAGCAUAUCAAA
rnacentral:rRNA from 1 species